UGCUUCUGAUCUCCUUCACGUCGCCCUAAUGCUGUUUGUUGAUUGCUUCUGAUCUCCUUCCAAGAUUUUGGAAGAUGAUAUAACUCCUGCAAUCACUAUUGCAAUGGGAUAUGAUACUGAAGCAAGCAUUGAUGUAGCAGAAAUUAAUUGCAGAGGACCUACCAUGAAUUCUGAAGCCAAGCUUUUAUGUUGUGGCCCCUCAAGAAUGUCAAAGUAACUGGGUUCUAUGAGAUGAUACUUUUUGCAGUUCAAGUAGUUUACAUAGGCUUAAGUUUACAUGUCUGCAGCUCUGAAAAACUAAGCGUACUGUUUAUUACUCUAUUUCGUUAUAGAACCUUUUCUCUUGUUCCAUCUUUCUUAACAUCUGCUCCAGAAUUCUGAGAACAUUUGAAAGUGUUCCUGACACUCCA